GCCCAGGUAGCUCAGUUGGUAGAGCAGUGGACUGAAAAUCCGCGUGUCGGUGGUUCGAGUCCGCCCCCGGGCACCA
rnacentral:tRNA from 2 species